rnacentral:lncRNA from 1 species
CCUGCUGGACUAUAUGCCCUUUAAAGCAAGUAGAGCACAUUACUCAUCACUCAAUCUCCAGGACCAAGUUAAUGUUCUGUAUAUAGUAAUGUCGACAGCAACAUCUCCCCCAGGUGUAACAACUAAACGUGUCUCCAGACAUUGGCAAAUAUCCUUGGGCCAUGGAGAAAACAUCACCUUCAAUUGAAAACCACUGGGCCACUCUAAUGCCUUCAAGGAAGCCAAGAGUCUCAGGCCCUUCGCCCUUGCUUCUCAGAAAAGAACAGCUAACCAUUGCCAACCAGAAUGCAUAGAAACUGAACUACUUCUGUGUCUGCAAUUGUCAUCUUGGACAAAUUACCUAAACUGCUUGGGCUGAGAUAUGUGAAUUCAGAUAUUGAAGCUUAUUUAUACCUUCAUAAUUCUAUGCUUCCAUAAUGAUUAAAUCCACCAUAGUA